AUGGUCUGCCUAUCUAUUGAUGGUGAUUCUAGCAAAGGUAAUGAUGCAGCAAAAAUGAUGGGAGCGACUCUUCUCGAGAUAUCUUGCAAGUUUGUGCCCGCUUUUCCAGAAUCUGAGAAACAACAACUCAUGAGUAUUUUGUUGUGUUUAUUAUCAUAG
rnacentral:rRNA from 1 species